GAUGAACGCUGGCGGCGUGCCUAAUACAUGCAAGUCGAGCGAACAGACGAGGAGCUUGCUCCUCUGACGUUAGCGGCGGACGGGUGAGUAACACGUGGAUAACCUACCUAUAAGACUGGGAUACUUUGGGGAACCCGAACUUAUACCGGGUUAUAUUUUUAACCGCAAUGUUUCAUAGUGAAAGACGGUUUUGGUUGCACCUAUUGAUGGAUCCGCGCCGCAUUAGCUAGUUGGUAAGGUAACGGCUUACCAAGGCAACGAUGCGUAGCCGACCUGAGAGGGUGAUCGGCCACACUGGAACUGAGACACGGUCCAGACUCCUACGGGAGGCAGCAGUAGGGAAUCUUCCGCAAUGGGCGAAAGCCUGACGGAGCAACGCCGCGUGAGUGAUGAAGGUCUUCGGAUCGUAAAACUCUGUUAUUAGGGAAGAACAAAUGUGUAAGUAACUAUGCACGUCUUGACGGUACCUAAUCAGAAAGCCACGGCUAACUACGUG
rnacentral:rRNA from 1 species